CUUCUUCCUGAGCUUUGCUUCAUCACAAGACUAAAGGUGGCAUCCCAUGUCACAGUCUUAUCAUCAUCCAAUUGGAGAAGAAACAUUUACAGGCCUCCUGGUUUUGUUUUCUGAUCCUGCAAAAAGACUGAGGACAACAAAGCCCAGAGAACAUGAGAUACACAACAUCCAACAUUCAGACUCAACAGCCUCCAUAAAUGAAGAGCACCAGGUUGGUCCAGUUAUACUAGAUAUAAGCAUACUUCACAUUACUGUGUAUGAAUAAUAAUCAAGAGACAAACUUUGAAGAUGCAGAGCAUGAUGUCCCAUCAUCAGACUGCAAACAAAUAUCCACCAGGCUUCUUUGUUGGCAAAGGUGAUGAUUCUCCCAUCAGGGAUCAGUGGCGUGUAUUAACCUGUCUGUUCCUCCAGCCUCAACAAAAAUCUGACUCUCCAGUCACAGACAAACAAAAAAAACUCCAGCUGGGAGAUAGAAAACGCUGCCUGGGUCUUGCUGGGUGUUGCUGGUCAGAGUCCACACAUUAGCAGAGUGCUUCUUGGUCCCACUGACCCAUGUGGACAGCGACUGUGGAGAACUGUUCUGGAAAACAGAAAAGAAAAUUAAAAUGACAAAAAGCCAAACAGGAUUUCCACAAAGACUCUCUUAGAAUCAGCAAUCAGAAAAUCAUUGGUUCAUAUUACAAUUAAAUAUGACCAGGCUCCUUAAAUGUAAGCAGUUAAGAUCUGAUUUGAUUUACAUCCUUCACACAGCACAUGUGUCCAGGCUGUCAGGUAAACAUAGAAUUAAUCUCAGGUAACAUGACUCAGAGUAGAGAUUCAGUAAGAAAGAUUGCCAGCUCUAAUAUUAUUACCACACCAACAGCUCAGAUUUCUAGAACUAUUUAAACAAAUGUCUUCUGAAUAUUCAAUUCAUGUUCACAGUGGGAGGGUGGGGGGGUAUCAUGGAAUUUUGUAAAUAAAGUCUGCAACACAGAAAGAGCUGUGAUCAAGCUAUUUAUUACUGCGCGUAGGAGAGCCAACACACAUCAAACAUCACAGUUCAGUCAUGUCAGCUCUUCCACAGAACUGGUGCUCCCACUCCUUUAUGCAUUCCAAGAAAGAGGGAGGAAGUUACAAACUGAUUGUACCACACUUCACGCGCCUCGCUAUGAAACCUAACGAAUCAAUGGUUAAGCUGUUUUGUGCCCUUGGCCUUAUCAGCACCUGUAAAGGGAGUUGUUUUCUCAAACUGCUGACGCUGAAGUAAGUUCAUCUAGUUUUAGAAACUUUCACUGAACAGUCUAUAACAGUAUCACAACUAAGCAUAUGCAUAAGCACUUAAAUACUUUAAAUGAGAAUAAUAGAAAAUUUCUAUUACAGGAGCAAGAGCCUGUCCCAGUAGUCAUAGGUAGAGCAAACCUGGACAGGUCACCAGUCUGUCAGAGGACUAACAGAGAGACAGACAUCAGAGUAACAAAUCCAUUUAAAAUUAAUGUAAGCUUGCUACAGCUGUAUGUAUGAACAUGUGUUUCUGUGCUCACAGUCCACCUCUCAGGAACCUGGAGUUCAUUUUAAGUCUACUUUAAACAGACCUCACAAAAGACUGAUGUGGAUCAGUAGUUUGAUUUAAGUACGAUACCUUUGGCCAGGGAUUAAUCUGGUACAUCGCUUCACCGCAGUCUUACAUAUUAUCCCCACACCUGAAUAAAAAAUAUUGAUAUUUACAAAUAACAGAUUCAGCUGAUGCAGCCUGACUCAAUCUGAUUCCAGAUGUUCAGCACACACAGAGACACAGAGGUACUGUUUAAAGUUUAGUGUUAACCUGAGUCACUGAUCAUUUACAGUAUUACAGAGUCUGGCAGUCUUUGCAUGAUGUCCAC
ensembl:lncRNA